rnacentral:rRNA from 1 species
CAACGAAUAUUCCGCAAUGGGCGCAAGCCUGACGGAGCGACGCCGCGUGAAGGAUGAAGUCCUUCGGGAUGUAAACUUCAAUAGUUUGUCAGAAAAUGCCCCUGGCUAAUAUCCAGGGGAGCUGAUCAGCAAACGAAAGGGACGGCUAACUCCGUGCCAGCAGCCGCGGUAAGACGGAGGUCCCGAGCGUUGUUCGGAAUUAUUGGGCUUAAAGCGCGUGUAGGCGGAGUCGUAAGUACCUUGUGAAAUCCCCGGACUCAAUCCGGGAACUGCUUGGUAUACUGCGGUUCUCGAGGCAGGUAGGGGUCACUGGAACCUUAGGUGGAGCGGUGAAAUGCGUAGAUAUCUAAGGGAACGCCUGUGGCGAAAGCGGGUGACUGGGCCUGUCCUGACGCUGAGACGCGAAAGCGUAGGGAGCAAACGGG